UACGUAGGGUGCAAGGCGUUAAUCGGAAUUACUGGGCGUAAAGCGUGCGCAGGCGGUUUUGUAAGUUUGUCGUGAAAUCCCCGGGCUCAACCUGGGAAUUGCGAUGAAGACUGCAAGGCUAGAAUCUGGCAGAGGGGGUAGAAUUCCACGUGUAGCAGUGAAAUGCGUAGAGAUCCGGAGGAAGACCGGUGGCGAAGGCGGUCUGCUGGGCAGUUCUGACACUGAGGCGCGACAGCGUGGGAGCAACAGG
rnacentral:rRNA from 1 species